rnacentral:misc_RNA from 1 species
ACAUAUGGAAAACCCUUAUAUAGGUUCUUCCACUGCUGUUUUCUUUUUUUGGUUUUUCAUGUCUGUGUUAUCUUAGGACACACCAUAAUUCGCACACUAAUGUUGCUUUCCUUCUCUAAAUUAAAAUGUCUAGACUAUGGAAGUGUUUGGUUUUAGGAGAGCAAGAGACAGAUCAACAACUCAUCCCAUAGAAUGCAUCUUCAUUAGAACCACGCUAGG